UUGUAAGUUUUGUCCCUGCACAAUUUGAUAUGUGAUAUGUAGAUACAUGUAGGAAGGGGAAGCUGGACUUUCCUUGUUUCCUUUGUAACUCAUCGCCCUCUCUAAAUAUUUCAUCCCUAUGUGUUACUGAACUGUUAUAUAGAAAAAACUGGGUAAACCAACUCAAUACAUCUAAUCAAUUGUAAUUGUACCAAUGUUUAGUCUAGCUCAUACUUUUUUCCAUUAUUUUCUUACCUAUUACCCCGGGGAGAGAAGCUUCACUUGAAAUUAUUUAGUUUCACUAAUUUAAG